UAGGAUUUUCCUAAGUCAAACUUUUUAAAGUUUGACCAUGUCUAUAGAAAAAUCCAGAGAGAUUUACAAUGUCAAAUAUAUACAAUAUGAUAAUAUAUUUCAUAGUGAAUCUAAUGAAGUAAUUUUGGUUUUGUAGAUGUUGAUAUAUUUUCAUAUAAACUUGGUCAAACUUAAUGAAGUUUGACUUUGGACAAUCUUAG
rnacentral:pre_miRNA from 1 species